rnacentral:tRNA from 1 species
GAUAGCUCAGCGGUAGAGCAUUCGACUGUUAAUCGAAUGGCCGUAGGUUCGAAUCCUACUC